UACACAAAUUUCUGCAAAAAUUCUAAAUAGCUACGUGCAUAUUUACAUACUUCGUUUCACAUUAAUUCUACGAUGAGACAGGAGUGUUUAAGUUGACCAUAAAUACAUAAAUUGAGGGACACUAAUUUAUAAAAAUCAUUGCAUUUUGCCGUAAAUUCUACAGACCAAAACUGGUCAAUCCUAAUAUUUAGUUAUACUUUUGAUUACCUACAUACAUAAUUUAAUUAUAUAUGUAUUACCGAAACUGUAUAGCAUUGGCAAACCUGAACGUGCAAAUCUAAUUCGAUUUCGCGUUUUGGUGAUUUGCACUGUGAAAACAAUGUCCACGCAGACAUGUUGCUUGGAUUGCUUCCCGAUAGGAGAAGGGACAUUUGUUAUCGGAAUUUUGAAUAUUAUUACUGUCAUUGUUUUAUACUCGAUCGGAAUUUAUAAAGAGUAAACUAAGGAGCUCUUCAAACAAGGACAUUCGAAUCGUUACAUUACAUUGGCCUUCAUCCAGAUGUUUCUCGCGGCCGUGUAUCUGAUUCUGGCUUGUCUGAUGGUGCAAGGUUAUCGUGUCCGAAAGCAUCGCCUGAUCAUUCCUUGGAUGGUGUGGAGUUACAUCUCACUUCCCCUCGCAACUGUUGGAGUAGUCGUUCUCUUUGUGGUCAUCGCAAUUGAUGGAGAAGUUGGGACUGGGCUUUUCAUUGCAAUCAGUGCUGUCACCUUCAUAGCACUUCAGACAUAUUUUGUUUCGGUGGUGAAGCGAUUCGUGGAGGAUUUGAGAGCGAGCGGUUAGGGUCGAAUGGUCACAUAAAAUUGUCAGUCAUUUCCUGGCAUUUUAGAAAGAUCUAUGUAAAUUGACAAAUAGUUAUCCACUGUGAUGGUUGUGGAUAUAAAGUAAUUUAUUACAAAGUUUCGAUGCUACAUGAAUAUUUUAAUACAUUUUAGAUGAAAACUAAGAUGAAAGAAUGCUGAAUGAAAUAAAUUUCUAAACAAAAUAUAUGAUGGCGGAAUUAUGUUUGUAAAACUGUUAAAUACAUUUAAUAAGCUAUUAUUUGGGCCAUAGGAGAACCUUAUUAGAUAUACAUAUUUUAAAUUGACAUACUUACCUAAUUUUUGCAUUUCUCUAGUUUUAGUUUUAGUAUUGCGACAUUUGUGACACGAUAGCAUUUUUGUAAAUUUUUCUUUUAACACUCGAAUAAAAGUAAGCCGAACUUAAGUUGAAAUUAUCAAGAAUUAUCAAUAUCAAUAUCUUCGUAUUCUAUACAAUAGAUUCUUGUUUUUUAAGUAUUCUUGUUGCAUAAUGUUUUCAUAGUUAAGUUAAGUUAUGUUAAGUUAAGAUUAAGAGUAGUAAAGCUUUUCAUAGUAAAGCAAUGACAAAUGAUAAAUUAUGCAGGAUGAUAGCAAAAUAAUUUCUAAUAAUUUAAAUAAAUAUAUCAAUUAUGAAGAAAGUUAUACGAAAUUACCAAUAUAACAUAUUUGCGCCGAACGUCUGAGUAGGAAUCG